rnacentral:lncRNA from 1 species
AACCUACAAUUUCUCCACCUUCUCCUGCCAUUUGAUGACCCAUUUUAAUCCUCCUCCAUAGGACCUCUCUGUUGUUUCCAUAUCUCCCAAAUUUCUACCAUUUUUUCAUUAUAUCUCCACCUUUCUCUCAACUUGUCCUUUUCUCUCACUUUCUUUUAUCGAAAAAGAAUAGUCGAUGCCGGAAAAAGCUUUCAUAUUUGAGACUCCUACUGUCCAACCACCAUCUCCGGUCAUCUCCAAUCAAAAAAUUCAUCUGUGAACCACCACCAAAAUGAAAAUCUCUUGAAGCUUCAUCUUUUAUGAGGAAUAUCUAAGAAUUUUAAUAAGAUAGGUGGAGAUAUGGCCAUAUCAGAUUGAAAAUGUUUGUUUCCUCCGUUUAGAGAAUUUCACGAAAUCUAUGAUGAAGAAGUUACGCGAGGAGACUGGUAGAAGUAGGAAAAAAAAAUAAGGUGUUGCAACUUCAAAACGAAAAGGAGAUGAAGAUGCAUCACAUCAUCCUUUCAAAAAAGGUGUAAAAGUUACGGAUCGUAAUGAUGUUUGUGUUAAUGAUACAUAAGACUUAUGUAUCUAAUUGAAAAUCUGACAAAAAUUAUGUAUUGAAAUAAUUUUUGUGUUACUGAUACAUAAGACUUAUAUAUUAAUAACAAAAAUCUGAC